CAGCCUGAUCUACAGAGUGAGUUUCUGCACAGCCAGAGCUACACAGAGAAACCAUGUCUCAAACAACCAAAAUAAUAAAUAAAUAAAUAAAUAAAAUAACUGAGUUUAGUCAGUUAAUGCUGAUGAUGGGUCAGAAGCAGGAGGAAGGGAACUAGAAAGGAACUGGAGAUGGAAGGCAUUUCCUGUUUCCUCAGAUCUUAAGGAAGGUCUUUGUUUUUCUAUGCUUCAGUGGGAAGGAGUGGCUUGACUCUGAGAGGAAGGGUCUGUCCCUUUGGACCAACCUAACAUACAGGCAAAGUUCUGGUUAGCAUAUGUCAUUGUUUCAGGUACCAUUCAAGCAUCCAGAAAAUGCUGGAAGGACUUGGGAUCACAAGGGUCAGACCUACUCCUGCUUACUGGUAACUCUGCCAUCUCUUCUAUAUUCAGAUCUGGUGUCCACAAGCUUCCUCGCUCAUUCCCUAGGUCUGAGGAAUGCUAUGGCCUUCCAAGAAGUCCCCGAGUAAUUCACAACAUCUCUCUGAAGAUGCUUCUCUCACCAAUGCAGUGGGAGCCUUAUACUGUGGCUCCCUCCAAGGGCACUGGGUGAGUCUAAAGGUCUUAGCUGAAAUCCAGAUAACACACUCUGGGUCCAGAAGUAUACCUUACCUUCCCAGGUGUAUAAAAGAUGUCCCUGGCCAUCUCAGUGGGAUCAUUUCUAUAGGGAACUGAUGAAAUGUCACAUCUCUGUGGCUGUACACAUGCCUGGGCAAGACAAUCAUAUCAUUUAAUUGACCACCCAAUCCCUGUCUACCAGCCCAGUUGCCUUGAGAUUCCAAGGCAAUUUGUACACAACUCCAUGUGUAUCCUUGCCUAUGAGUCUCUGGUUCACUCAACAGUAUGUAUGGAGUGAGCCAGCAAGAUGGCUCAGUGAGUAAAAGCACUUGCCACUACGCCUGGAGAUCAGAGUUCUAUCCCUGGGACACACGUGGUGGAAGAACAGAACCAACUUCUGCAAGCUGGCCUGUAAUCUUCACACGUGUGCAAUGGCACCACCACCCCUUGCAAUGAGUAAAUGUCAGGAAACAAAAACAAUAAAAUGUAUGGAGUUUUCAACAGGAUGCUGGCUUGGGAAUGACCCGAACUCCAACCACCAAAGAUGUGCAACUCUCCUGUGGAAAGUUGAGGUAGAGAAGACUGAGUCUAGGAACUCAGCAACUGGGACCCUACACAGAAGGGCCCACAGGAGAAACCCCCAAGCUGCUUUGGGGGAGGGGAAAGGAAUACUGACUGGCCUGACUCCACCUGUUAACCUCUCAUGAAAGCUCAAUUCCUGACCUGGUAGGGUCCUGAGGCAAAGCCUGCUGGGUAAGUCUGUUUCUCCAUUUCUGAGUGAAGAAGCUAUGGCCCAGGGAGAGGUGACUUGUUCCAGAUGACAGCAUCGGUGACAGAGAAAGUCCCAGACUCAGCCAGAAGCCCAGCCAAGGAAAACAUGAAGUGGGCAGCCAGCUUGAGCCUGGGAGACACCCUGCAGCUCUGGAGUGUGUCUGAAACCUCAAGGACCUUGAAACCUUGCCUGCUCUGAUGAAUCACCUACUCACAAUCCUCUAGACAAUCCCCUUUCUGCAGGAUGAGAAAAUAAGAUUUGAUUACCCACUGUGGUGGCUUGAAUGCAAUUGAAUCCCCAUAAUCCCCAAAGGAGUGGCACUAUUAGGAGGUGUGGCUUUGUUGGAAUGGAGCCAGCACCAUGUCUGCCUGCACGCUGCCAUAAUCCCUGCAAUGAUGAUAACGGAC